CACCUCCUUUCUAAGGAUAUAUUCGGAACAUCUUCUUCAGAAGAUGCGGAAUAAUGUGACAUAUUGUAUUCAGUUUUGAAUGUUUAUUUAACAUUCAAAUAUUUUUUGGUUAAAGUGAUAUUGCUUAUGCGAGCGCUUGACUAAAAAGAAAUUGUACAUUGAAAACUAGAUAAGUAAGUAAAAUAUAGAUUUUACCAAGCAAAACCGAGUGAAUAAAGAGUUUUAAAUAAGCUUGAAUUCAUAAGAAAUAAUCGCUAGUGUUCGAAAGAACACUCACAAGAUUAAUAACGCGUUUCCUGUAGGAUGGAAACAUAGAUUAAGUUAUUAAGGGCGCACGGUGGAUGCCUUGGCACUAGAAGCCGAUGAAGGACGUUACUAACGACGAUAUGCUUUGGGGAGCUGUAAGUAAGCUUUGAUCCAGAGAUUUCCGAAUGGGGAAACCCAGCAUGAGAUAGUGAACCAGUACCGUGAGGGAAAGGUGAAAAGCACCCCGGAAGGGGAGUGAAAUAGAACCUGAAACCGUGUGCUUACAAGUAGUCAGAGCCCGUUAAUGGGUGAUGGCGUGCCUUUUGUAGAAUGAACCGGCGAGUUACGAUUUGAUGCAAGGUUAAGCAGUAAAUGUGGAGCCGUAGCGAAAGCGAGUCUGAAUAGGGCGUUUAGUAUUUGGUCGUAGACCCGAAACCAGGUGAUCUACCCUUGGUCAGGUUGAAGUUCAGGUAACACUGAAUGGAGGACCGAACCGACUUACGUUGAAAAGUGAGCGGAUGAACUGAGGGUAGCGGAGAAAUUCCAAUCGAACCUGGAGAUAGCUGGUUCUCUCCGAAAUAGCUUUAGGGCUAGCCUCAAGUGAUGAUUAUUGGAGGUAGAGCACUGUUUGGACGAGGGGCCCCUCUCGGGUUACCGAAUUCAGACAAACUCCGAAUGCCAAUUAAUUUAACUUGGGAGUCAGAACAUGGGUGAUAAGGUCCGUGUUCGAAAGGGAAACAGCCCAGACCACCAGCUAAGGUCCCAAAAUAUAUGUUAAGUGGAAAAGGAUGUGGCGUUGCCCAGACAACUAGGAUGUUGGCUUAGAAGCAGCCAUCAUUUAAAGAGUGCGUAAUAGCUCACUAGUCGAGUGACACUGCGCCGAAAAUGUACCGGGGCUAAACAUAUUACCGAAGCUGUGGAUUGUCCUUUGGACAAUGGUAGGAGAGCGUUCUAAGGGCGUUGAAGCAUGAUCGUAAGGACAUGUGGAGCGCUUAGAAGUGAGAAUGCCGGUGUGAGUAGCGAAAGACGGGUGAGAAUCCCGUCCACCGAUUGACUAAGGUUUCCAGAGGAAGGCUCGUCCGCUCUGGGUUAGUCGGGUCCUAAGCUGAGGCCGACAGGCGUAGGCGAUGGAUAACAGGUUGAUAUUCCUGUACCACCUAUAAUCGUUUUAAUCGAUGGGGGGACGCAGUAGGAUAGGCGAAGCGUGCGAUUGGAUUGCACGUCUAAGCAGUAAGGCUGAGUAUUAGGCAAAUCCGGUACUCGUUAAGGCUGAGCUGUGAUGGGGAGAAGACAUUGUGUCUUCGAGUCGUUGAUUUCACACUGCCGAGAAAAGCCUCUAGAUAGAAAAUAGGUGCCCGUACCGCAAACCGACACAGGUAGUCAAGAUGAGAAUUCUAAGGUGAGCGAGCGAACUCUCGUUAAGGAACUCGGCAAAAUGACCCCGUAACUUCGGGAGAAGGGGUGCUCUUUAGGGUUAACGCCCAGAAGAGCCGCAGUGAAUAGGCCCAAGCGACUGUUUAUCAAAAACACAGGUCUCUGCUAAACCGUAAGGUGAUGUAUAGGGGCUGACGCCUGCCCGGUGCUGGAAGGUUAAGAGGAGUGGUUAGCUUCUGCGAAGCUACGAAUCGAAGCCCCAGUAAACGGCGGCCGUAACUAUAACGGUCCUAAGGUAGCGAAAUUCCUUGUCGGGUAAGUUCCGACCCGCACGAAAGGCGUAACGAUUUGGGCACUGUCUCAACGAGAGACUCGGUGAAAUCAUAGUACCUGUGAAGAUGCAGGUUACCCGCGACAGGACGGAAAGACCCCGUGGAGCUUUACUGUAGCCUGAUAUUGAAAUUCGGCACAGCUUGUACAGGAUAGGUAGGAGCCUUUGAAACGUGAGCGCUAGCUUACGUGGAGGCGCUGGUGGGAUACUACCCUAGCUGUGUUGGCUUUCUAACCCGCACCACUUAUCGUGGUGGGAGACAGUGUCAGGCGGGCAGUUUGACUGGGGCGGUCGCCUCCUAAAAGGUAACGGAGGCGCUCAAAGGUUCCCUCAGAAUGGUUGGAAAUCAUUCAUAGAGUGUAAAGGCAUAAGGGAGCUUGACUGCGAGACCUACAAGUCGAGCAGGGUCGAAAGACGGACUUAGUGAUCCGGUGGUUCCGCAUGGAAGGGCCAUCGCUCAACGGAUAAAAGCUACCCCGGGGAUAACAGGCUUAUCUCCCCCAAGAGUUCACAUCGACGGGGAGGUUUGGCACCUCGAUGUCGGCUCAUCGCAUCCUGGGGCUGUAGUCGGUCCCAAGGGUUGGGCUGUUCGCCCAUUAAAGCGGUACGCGAGCUGGGUUCAGAACGUCGUGAGACAGUUCGGUCCCUAUCCGUCGUGGGCGUAGGAAAUUUGAGAGGAGCUGUCCUUAGUACGAGAGGACCGGGAUGGACAUACCUCUGGUGUACCAGUUGUCGUGCCAACGGCAUAGCUGGGUAGCUAUGUGUGGACGGGAUAAGUGCUGAAAGCAUCUAAGCAUGAAGCCCCCCUCAAGAUGAGAUUUCCCAACUUCGGUUAUAAGAUCCCUCAAAGAUGAUGAGGUUAAUAGGUUCGAGGUGGAAGCAUGGUGACAUGUGGAGCUGACGAAUACUAAUCGAUCGAAGACUUAAUCAA
rnacentral:rRNA from 1 species